rnacentral:pre_miRNA from 1 species
AUGUUUCAGGUGUUUAAUAUGUUUCGGAUGUUUUACAUGUUUUGGGUGUUUGUAAAACAUCCGAAACAUAUUAAACACCUGAAACAU